ACAGAUCUAGCUUGCUAGAUGCUGACGAGUGGCGCACGGGUGCGUAACGCGUAUACAAUCUACCUUUAACUGAGGGAUAGCCCAGAGAAAUUUGGAUUAAUACCUCAUAGUAUUAUAUUAAGGCAUCUUUUUAUAAUUAAAACUCCGGUGGUUAAAGAUGAGUAUGCGUCCUAUUAGCUUGUUGGUAAGGUAAAAGCUUACCAAGGCUACGAUAGGUAGGGGGCCUGAAAGGGUGAUCCCCCACACUGGACUGAGACACGGCCCAGACUCCUACGGGAGGCAGCAGUGGGGAAUUUUCCGCAAUGGGCGAAAGCCUGACGGAGCAACGCCGCGUGAGGGAUGAAGGCCUCUGGGCUGUAAACCUCUUUUAUCAAGGAAGAAGAUCUGACGGUACUUGAUGAAUAAGCCACGGCUAAUUCCGUGCCAGCAGCCGCGGUAAUACGGGAGUGGCAAGCGUUAUCCGGAAUUAUUGGGCGUAAAGCGUCCGCAGGCGGCCCUUCAAGUCUGCUGUUAAAAAGUGGAGCUUAACUCCAUCAUGGCAGUGGAAACUGUUGGGCUUGAGUGUGGUAGGGGCAGAGGGAAUUCCCGGCGUAGCGGUGAAAUGCGUAGAUAUCGGGAAGAACACCAGUGGCGAAGGCGCUCUGCUGGGCCAUCACUGACGCUCAUGGACGAAAGCCAGGGGAGCGAAAGGGAUUAGAUACCCCUGUAGUCCUGGCCGUAAACGAUGAACACUAGGUGUCGGGGGAAUCGACCCCCUCGGUGUCGUAGCCAACGCGUUAAGUGUUCCGCCUGGGGAGUACGCACGCAAGUGUGAAACUCAAAGGAAUUGACGGGGGCCCGCACAAGCGGUGGAAUUAUGUGGGUUUAAUUCGAUGCAACGCGAAGAACCUUACCAGGGUUUGACAUCCUGCGAAUCUCUUGGAAAACGAGAGAGUGCCUUCGGGAACGCAGUGGACAGGUGGUGCAAUGGCUGUCGUCAGCUCGUGUCGUGGAG
rnacentral:rRNA from 1 species